GCAGUGUAGCGGUGAUGUCAUCCUGAAGUGUUCUCAAUGUGUCAGUCUAGGCUGAAGCUAAUUAAAGUGUGCUUUUCAAGUCUUAUUAUAGACAUCAAGCAUAUUGAUAACAAAUUAUAAACAAAGUGAGAUGUCAAGCACAUUAACAACAAAUUAUAAACAAGAUGACUUUCUUUUUUUAUAUAUUUGCAGGGUUUAAACUACAUGUUUCUAAAUUUGCAUACCAGAAUUUAUGAGAAGUCAAGUCGUUUGAAGAAAAAGGACGAUGACUACACAGUCAACAAGGUCCCUUGUUUGAAAACCUGUUGGCUGCUACCUGUGAAUCUCCUUUUUUACUUCCUUAAACGGGCCCUCUAAAUUGAGGGUAACUCCUUCGAUACUGAUCAUCCACUGGACCCGACUUCAUCCAUGGGAAUCAACACAUGGAUUUAAUGCAGACAGCUGGUAAAGGAUGUUCCUCUUGCUACCUGUACUGCUGUGUGUUUCGUCAAAUGAAGAAACAUGAACAACUGAAGUUUAUCGUUUAUGUUCGCGUAGUUGCUGUCCGAUGUGGCACGUUGUUUCAGCCUAUGCUGGUGAAAGAUCUUCCUACAUCAAGUUCUUGGCCGUUCCUUGGUGUCGUGUUACAGAAAUUGCAUCAUUAUUUUGUUGAAUUGUCAUCGUGACUAUGCAGUUUACACUUUACCGUUAAAGGUAAAGUUCAGAAUGUCGAUGUCAAAUAUGUCAACAAAUAAUAAACAUGUUUCCGGGAUUGGGAAAGGAAAGUGGAGGAUGUUGGAGGGAGGAUAUUUCAAGUUUGGACAAAAAUUCAGUUAAUCUAUAACCCUACAAAUGUUGCCCUACCAAUUAAUCUCCAAACCCCACAAACAUAUACCUUCCAAUGCUUAAAACCCCGAAAACAUACACCUACUAACCCGUAAAGUUAAACCCUUAACCCUAAAAACCAAUGUUAAACCUUAACCAUGCAAUAUCUGUAAUAAAUAAAGAUAAAUAUGUUAUAUGAA